rnacentral:rRNA from 1 species
CACACCUGUUCCCAUUUCGAACACAGCAGUUAAGUCCUCCAGCGCCGAUGGUACUGCAGGGGUAGCCCUGUGGGAGCGUAGGUCACUGCCAGAA